CAAGAAUAAGAACUCUGCCUCUCAUUAUCAUCACAUAACCAUUUCUGAGGCGCUUCAGGCUGCUCGUAUUGAGGCUCCUGAUGGAACACACAGCCCUGCACUGAAAACUAGUGGUAGAGUCCUUAGCUUUGGCUUGGAUGCACCAAUAUGUGAUUCCAUGGCUUCUGUAUUAAAUAUCGCUGAUAAGAAGGUUUUGAAUGGCACUCGAAAUGGCCUUCAUAACUUUGAAGAACAGAGAAUUCCAGCUCCUUGCAAUGGUAGAGAAAACGGUGAUGAUUGCUCAAGUGGAUCUUCUGUGACAGUUUCCAAUUCAAUGGGGGAAGGUGGCAGGACUUGCUUACAAGAACAUUUUAUGCAAAGCAUCAAUGGGUUUGCCUCUCCAAUCCCAUGCAUCCCUGGUGUUCCCUGGCCCUAUCCUUGGAAUUCUGUUUUGCCCCCUCCAGCUUUUUGCCCACCAGGAUUUCCCAUAUCAUUUUAUCCUGCCUUUUGGAAUUGUGGUAUCCCUGGUGGUUGGAACAUCC
rnacentral:misc_RNA from 1 species